AUCUUGGAUUCAAGCAUUUAGAAAAAACCUAUAAAUAAUGUUGAAUUCGGAUGUUCGGUGAGCAUCACUGCGUCCCGGAAAACCGAUUCAAGAAAUAGUGCAGAGAACCAAAACCCCCAAAAUUGAAAUGAAAUUUAAGCCUCCGUCGAAGCGGAAGAAAAUCGACCCUUCAAUUUCUUCCAGCUCAUCUCUGUGUAGUCCUGGUCUCCCAUUAACCGAAAGUAGAGAUGCUGAAUUGAAUACAAUGAGGAAAUCCAUGGUUCACGAGGCUCAAAAUGCCAAUGUCAGUCUAAGGAUUCAACAAGCAAGGAAUUAUGCAGUUUCCCAGGCGCAGCAAGAUGGUUGCACUGGAAACUUUAGAGUAUUCGACUCGCCAUUUGGGAAUUAUCUCGUUCCUGUGAUUCCAACUCGUGCAGAACUUGGUGGAUGAGACUUCUGGUUGUAUCCUAGGAUUCCGUGCAGAGUUUUUAACAUGACAAUAGUUAACACAACUCGAAAUUCUGUGUUUCAGUUAAUCAGAUGAGAAAUAUAACAUACACGCUUGCAAUACUGAAUUAUUGAUAUUUAUAGUUGUAGUAAUAGGAAAGGGUGACAACUAAAAAAAAAGUAAAAUUAAGAAAGGGUGAAUAUCACUCUUUCUUAUUUCUCUCUACUUAUAAUGAUUUUACUAAAUCUGAAUAUCCAGCUCAUCCCCUGCUAUUUUUAUUUGAAGAUCUCUAGGCUUACUAGUAAAGCUCUAUACAUGUAGAUCUAACUCAUCAUCAUACGGAAGUGAAAAUACUUUCAUCGGAUUGAAAGGACCUCUGCAUCGGAACUUUGGAGGAGAGGAGCAACAUCAUAUUCGUUUCCAUUUGUCUUCUCACCGAUGGGCAGCCUUUGACCACAGCGAAGUAAGAUUUGCAGGACGUCCUUCAUUGCUGGUCUGCUCGAAGGGAAUGUGCUGGUACAGAUCAAUCCAAGCUUGAGUAUAGUGUUUAUAUCUUCCAAGUAGAGGGGAUCCUUUAGAUCUUCAUCGAUCAUGUCAAGUACUGGGUUCCCUUCUUGAAUACGACGCCAUGCCCAUUCAGCAAGGGACGAAUUCUCGUCUCCGUAAUGACCCUCUUUUCCAGUUAUCAAUUCAAGAAGGAUCACGCCAAAACUGUACACAUCAAUCUUCUCACUCACUCUUCUUGUUUGAGCAUACUCUGAAAUACAGUAUAUGGUUAAUAAAUGAAUAUCCAGUGAACUGGAUGUGAUUCAAAAUAUAUCUGAGAGUGAAAUAUAAUACUUACCUGGAGCCAUAUAUCCAAAAGAGCCAGCUACUACUGACAUGGUAUUAGGCUCUCCAUGCCUGAUCAACUUUCUUGCUAGGCCAAAGUCUGCGAUCUUUGCAUUGAAUUUAGAAUCUAAGAGGAUGUUGCUUGAUUUCACAUCUCGAUGGAUAAUUGGCGGUGAACAGUGAUGGUGCAUAUAGGUGAGCCCGUGAGCAGCUCCUAUUGCAAUUUGCAGCCUCUUGGGCCAGUCCAGGACAACAUGGUGGACUGAACCUGAGAUGUUGUAUGAUCUGUUUCUACUAUGUAAGCCAUCUAUCCAGACUACGAUUCUCCAUGUACUCGUAGACUAGAAGCUUUGAGGUCUCGCUUGAAAUGCAGCAAAGUAGUUUUACUAUGUUGGAGUGCCGAAUAGUGCCCAGUAUCCGAAUUUCAGCUAGGAAUUCUUUUUCAAGCUUCUCAUCUAACUUAACAUUGUCCCAGAUCAUCUUAACAGCCACGUAUUCUCCUGAGCGAUUUAUGGGGACACGGAAUACUUUCCCAGAUCCUCCACUUCCAAUUUGAUUCUCAUCUCUCAAACUUGACAAUAUGGUUGCUUCUGUGAAGUUUAGCCUCUGGAACGAAGUGAGUUUCCAAGUUGAGCCUGAAACCUGCUUUUGCCUCACGUAACCUCUGCAUACAUAUAUUGUGUAAAGAAAGACUGCUAGGAAGGCCACUGCCGCUGUGCUUGAUACUGCAGCAAUGAGUCCAGAAGGGAACUUGUUCGACUUCCUAGUUUCAGCACGGCAAGUGCUGAGGCCUAAUGCUAGGAUAUUGGAACAGAGGCCUGAGUUGUUCAGAAAGCUUCUGGCAAAAGCUCCAUUUUCAAACUGACUUGGGAUUCUCCCUGUGAGCCUAUUCGAGGAGACAUUGAGUAAAGAUAGUCUCAAAAGGUCAAAUUCAGGGGGAAUUUGGCCCGAAAAUCCAUUUUCUGACAAGUCCAAGGAGACAAGAUCCGGCAAACGGCCCAUUGUGGCAGGAAUUUCGCCAGAGAGUUGAUUUCUACUGAGAUUCAAAUUUGACAGAGAUUUCCAUGAGACUAUACUUGAUGGCAGCUGACCAGAAAGUUGAUUACCAUCCAGCGAGAGAACUAACAGAGAUGCAAGAGUUGUCAAUUCUUGUGGUAUCGCGCCCCUUAGUAAGUUGUUACUUGCCCUCAACACUAUCAAAUUCUUCCAAGAAGAUAUGCUAGCUGGAAUUGGGCCCGAGAAAUGGUUGUUCAUCAGCUCGAGCAAUUGCAGUUUAGAGCCUAGUUUGUCUGGUAGCUCACCAGAAAACAAGUUGUUGCCUAUCAUCAGCCUGGUUAGAUUCUCUGAUGUCCAUAAACCAUCCGGGAUUCUACCAGAAAGCUUGUUGUCAUAAACUCGGACUACCUCCAAACUGUUGCAAUCACCUAGAGAAUCUGGCAACCCACCUGUCAGUUUGUUAUCAAAGACAACCACACCCCUGAGUACCUUAUUUGCACACAAAUCUUUAGGCACUUCACCUUCAAAUUGGUUUUCAGAUACCUCAAAUCUUUCCAGCUUCGAGUACCUCCCAAAGUCCGGUGGUAAUACACCUGACAGAUUAUUGUUGAACAGCUUGAUAUUUACAAGUUGUGGUAACCUGGCUAUGCUUGCUGGCACCUCACCGGACAAUUGGUUAAACAUCAAUGCGAAACCAGUAAGGCUUGUUAACUUCCCAAAAUCACUUGGGAUUGUCCCAUUAAGAGUGUUGUUAGAAAAAUCAAGAAUCUGCAACUUUGGGGCUUCGACCUUCUGAGGAAGGGGUCCAGAUAACCUGUUUUUGUAAAGGUACAAGAAAGUUAAAUUGUUGAGAAGAAAGAGGCUGCCAGGAAUUCCGCCGCUCAAUUGAUUUGUAGAUAAAUCCAAAGAUUCCAAGGCCGACAUAUUCCCAAUGCUAUCAGGGAUUUCUCCUAUCAAGUUGGCGUCGUUAAUCCACAGAUUCCUCAGUUUCUUCAGCUUAGUGAAACUGGAUGGGAUUGAUUGCAGUGAAAAACCAUUAUAGCCCAAAGACAGCUCCUCCAGAUUUGAGAGGUCGCCUAUUUCUGACGGGAAAGAGCCAUUGAACAAGUUUGACAUCAGCUGAAGACCCCUGAGGUUCGGCAGUCUCCCUACGGCAGCAGGGAUGUCGCCGGUGAAGCUGUUGGCAGACAAGUUCAACGCCCGGAGCUGCGGAGAGAGACGGUCUAUGUCAUUGGGUACUGUUCCAUUGAAAUAGUUGUUGGAAAGGUCCAAGUAUUGAAGCCUGGAACAGUUGUAGAGGACAGUGGGGAAGUGUCCUGGGAUGUAGUUGAGUUGGAGAUCGAUGUGGGUGAGGUUGCUGAGGUCGCAUAUUGAUGGCGGGAUUGCAUCCGUGAUGUUUCUGUCUAUGAUCAUGAGUCCCGUGACUGAGCCGCUGGUGCACGUGAUCUCCGGCCACUUGCAGUGAUCGGACGAUGGUGUCCAGUGGCUGAGGGAGGGGGGAUUGGACCAUUGUUGUUUGAGUCCAAGGAGGAUGUUCUGUUCUUGGUUAGGAUUAUUGUUUUGUGAGUUUCCAUGGAAGGGUAGGCUGACAAGAAGGAUGAUGAGGAUAAGGAGGACUCCAUUUUUGAUCAUGUUGUUGGAUGAAGCAUGCAUGGUACAGGUUCAGAUUGUUGUCGAGGAGAUUGAGAAAAUUGCUCUCUCUCUCUCUGGUGUGAGGAAAGAGGAAGAGAAGAGAAGGGAGUUGUAAUGUGAAAGAAUGAAGCCGAGAGGAAGCUGCAAAUGAAGACCAACACUAAGCUGACUUUGAAUAUUCCUGGAAAGUAUAAAAUAUAGUAAAUAAUUCCCUUGUCUUUCAGCUACGUUCCAUAGUUUAGGUUAUCACAUUUUCUUUUUCUUUUUAAAUUGCAGAAUGGUAUUUUUCUCGAACAAAAAUUUUACUCCCUCUAUCCAUGAAAAUGUUACUUAUUUUAUAAUGAUAUGAAUUUUAAUAAAUUGAUUAA